rnacentral:lncRNA from 1 species
AUACAGUUGACUGAGAGAGAGAGGCAGGUUGCAGCUACAGUUGACUGAGAGAGAGAGGCAGGUUGCAGCUACAGUUGACUGAGAGAGAGAGGCAGGUUGCAGCUACAGUUGACUGAGAGAGAGAGGCAGGUUGCAGCUACAGUUGACUGAGAGAGAGAUGCAGGUUGCAGAUACAGUUGACUGAGAGAGAGAGAGAGAGGCAGGUUGCAGCUACAGUUGACUGAGAGAGAGGCAGGUUGCAGCUACAGUUGACAGAGAGAGAGAGAGGCAGGUUGCAGCUACAGUUGACUGAGAGAGAGAGGCAGGUUGCAGCUACAGUUGACUGUGAGAGAGGCAGGUUGCAGCUACAGUUGACUGAGAGAGAGAGGCAGGUUGCAGCUACAGUUGACUGAGAGAGAGAGGCAGGUUGCAGCUACAGUUGACUGAGAGAGAGAGGCAGGUUGCAGCUACAGUUGACUGAGGGGGCAGGUUGCAGCUACAGUUGACUGAGGGAGACAGAUUGCAGCUACAGUUGACUGAGGGGGCAGGUUGCAGCUACAGUUGACUGAGAGAGAGAGGCAGGUUGCAGCAACAGUUGACUGAGAGAGAGAGGCAGGUUGCAGCUACAGUUGACUGAGAGAGAGAGGCAGGUUGCAGCUACAGUUGACUGAGAGAGAGAGACAGGUUGCAGCUACAGUUGACUGAGAGAGAGGCAGGUUGCAGCUACAGUUGACAGAGAGGCAGGUUGCAGCUACUUUUGACUGAGAGAGAGGCAGGUUGCAGCUACAGUUGACUAAGAGAGAGAGGCAGGUUGCAGCUACAGUUGACUGAGAGAGAGGCAGGUUUCAGCUACAGUUGACUGAGAGAGAGGCAGGUUGCAGCUACAGUUGACUGAGAGAGAGAGACAGGUUGCAGCUACAGUUGACUGAGAGACAGAGGCAGGUUGCAGCUACAGUUGACUGAGAGAGAGAGGCAGGUUGCAGCUACAGUUGACUGAGAGAGAGAGGCAGGUUGCAGAUACAGUUGACUGAGAGAGAGAGAGAGAGAGGCAGGUUGCAGCUACAGUUGACUGAGAGAGAGAGAGGCAG